rnacentral:rRNA from 1 species
UACGGAGGUCUCAAGCGUUGUUCGGAUUCAUUGGGCGUAAAGGGUGUGUAGGUGGCGCCGUAAGUCGGGUGUGAAAUCUCGGGGCUUAACUCCGAAACUGCAUUCGAUACUGCGGUGCUUGAGGACUGGAGAGGAGACUGGAAUUCAUGGUGUAGCAGUGAAAUGCGUAGAGAUCAUGAGGAAGACCAGUGGCGAAGGCGGGUCUCUGGACAGUUCCUGACACUGAGGCACGAAGGUCAGGGGAGCAAACGGG